GGAAACGGAUCUGGAGUCUGAAGGUGGGGUGUUGUCUGUUACUAUGAGUAAAAUAAAAAAGGGGAAAGUAAGAAAUCUAGGGUUUUAAAUAAAAGAGGGUUAAAAAAGUAAAUAAAAAAAUAAAAAAAAAAAGGUUAUUUUAGUAAUAUAGAAAAAAUUUAAAAAAAAUGGGGAGGUGGAGGCCAAAAAGGUGGAGGUGUAGGGAUCAACGCCCAACCAAAAGCGAUGCAUAGCAUGGGCCCAUUUAAAGAAAGUCUUUUCCCUCAUUAUUCAAAC
rnacentral:lncRNA from 1 species